rnacentral:misc_RNA from 1 species
GAUGAAGAACGUAGCGAAAUGCGAUAAGUAAUGUGAAUUGCAGAAUUCAGUGAAUCAUCGAGUCUUUGAACGCACAUUGCGCCCCCUGGUAUUCCGGGGGGCAUGCCUGUCCGAGCGUCAUUGCUGCCCUCAAGCACGGCUUGUGUGUUGGGCCCCCGUCCCCGGUUUCCCCCGGGGACGGGCCCGAAAGGCAGCGGCGGCACCGCGUCCGGUCCUUGAGCGUAUGGGGCUUUGUCACCCGCUCUGUAGGCCCGGCCGGCGCCAGCCGACACCCAACUUUAUUUCUAAGGUUGACCUCGGAUCAGGUAGGGAUACCCGCUGAACUUAAGCAUAUCAAUAAGCGGAGGA